rnacentral:pre_miRNA from 1 species
GCGGCUGCAGCGUGCAAGAUGGCGGCGGGCCCUGGCACCUCCUCUUCCGCCCCUCCGGGCGUCCCA